CCUGCAAGUGCAUAGAAGUCAAAAAUUGAGGUUUGGGAUCCUCUGCCUAGAUUUCAGAGGGUGUAUAGAAAUGCCUGAUGUCCAGGCAGAAGUCUGCUGUAGGGGCAGGGCUCUCAUGGAGAACCUCUGCUAAGACAGUGCAGAAGGGAAAUGUGUGGUCAGAGCCCCCACACAGAGUCCUUUCCUGGGGCACUGCCUAGUGGAGCUGUGAGAAGAGGGCCACCAUCCUCCAGACCCCAGAAUGGUAGAUCCACCUACAGCUUGCAAAUUGUGCACCUGGAAAAGCCACAGACACUCAAUGCCAGCCCACUAAAGCAGCCAAGAGGGAGACUAUACCCUUCAAAGCCACAGGGGCUAAGUUACCUAAGACCAUGGGAACCCACCUCUUGCAUAAAUGUGAUCUGGAUGUGAGACCUAGCAUCAAAGGAAAUCAUUUUGGGGCUUUAAGAUUUGACUGCCCCAUUGGAUUUCAGACUUGCACGAGGCCUGUAGCCCCUUCAUUUCAGCCAAUUUCUCCCAUUUGGAAUGGCUGUAUUUACCCAAUGAUUGUAUCCCCACUGUAUCUAGGAAGUAACUAACUUGCUUUUGAUUUUACAGGCUCAUAGGCAGAAGGGACUUGCCUUGUCUCAGAUGAGACUUUGGACUGUAGACUUUUGAAUUAAUCCUGACAUGAGUUAAGACUUUGAGGGACUGUUGGGAAAUCAUAACUGGUUUUGAUAUGUGAGGACAUAAGAUUUGGAGGGGCCAUGGGUGGAAUGAUAUGGUUUGGCUUUGUCCCCACCCAAAUCUCAUCUUGAAUUGUAACUCCCACAAUUCCCACAUGUCAUGGGAGGAACCCAGUAGGAGGUAACUGAAUUAUGGGGGUGGGUCUUUUCCCGAGGUUUUAAAAAAACGGGAGGUUCACUGCACAAGCUCUCUCUCUUGCCUGCUACCAUCCAUGUAAGAUGUGACUUGCUCCUCCUUGCCUUCUGCCAUGAUUGUGAGGCCUUCCCAGCCAUGUGGAACUGUAAGUUCAUUAAACCUCUUUCUUUUGUAAAUUGCCCAGUCUUGGGUAUGCCUUUAUCAGCAACAUGAAAAUGGAUGAAUACACCUUGCUUUCCAAAGAAAACAUUGUUUCAACCAAAUCCCACUCCUACCAUCAAUUGUUGUGAGGAUUGUGUGUCCUCCUUCCUUAGUUCAGAGUCCUCCAAAAGAAGACACUGAGACCAGGUUUCAAGGGUAAGUAGAUUGUCUUGGAGGUGACGUCAGAAACCACUGAUGGAGAAGUGACAAAUGAGACAGAAAGGGAAGGAAUUGAUGACAGGGAAUCUCAGGUGAAAAAAACCUCAGGACUAUCCCACCCAAAUAGCAUGGAAGAGUGAGUAUCAUAUAGCAACUCCCUGAAAGAGUUGUGAACUCCCUUCCAUUUCUGCCCUGCUGGAUGGGAAGAAAAGCGGGUCCUGGUAGCUAAGGAAAUCCCUCAGGCAAGAAGAUAUGUGUGCUGCCAACUGGAAGUUGGGCCAGAGAACAUGGAAGUGGUGAAGGCAGGGCAUAGACAGCAUCCACAGCUCAUAUCCAGUCAUUCUCUCAAAGGGACUUCCAUCACAAGAUCUUAUCUAGUGCAGUUUAUUAGAAAAGCAUAUGAAAAGGCUUUCAAAUUAUUAAUAAGAAUUCUUAUAGAAAUGUUCAUCUGUGUCAGGCACCAUAUUUCUGGCUGGGUGAACAUAGAUGUCCUUUACUAUCAAAUUCCAUGGGGCCCAUGAGAAGAGAAUGCAGGACCAGCCAGAUGGCUCAUGCCCAUUGCCAUUUUUACUUUGCUUCUAUGUUACAAGCUGACAAUUUUGCUCUGUGUGUACUGUAAAAUAGCAGACAUUUUCCAAAUUUUGCUCUGGCUUACACUGUUCCUUUUUGCUUUUUCAUUUAUCUUUCUUGUACCCAUAGUUAAAAAAAAAAAAAGCAUUUCACAGAGGUAAGGUUAAGGCUAGAGGCUUAUGUGGUCAGAACAUUUGAGCUCUUCUUGUAAAGGUUCAAGUGAACCUUGUCCUUCCCCAUCUCUGCUUCCUCAGGAAUGAGUUUUCAAAUAUUUCAUUCCAUUUCACUAAAAUCUAGCAAGGCUGGGUCAAGGGCCAAAUAUCUUUGUUCUAAUUCCCGCUCUGCAAAUGAGUACGCAAGUCUCCCCCACCUGCUGACAGAGUCAUCAUAUAGCACAGUGGCAAUGGCUGGCCAUAGACAUUAUCACAGAUAUCACAUUGGAAAUAUUUGUGAAUGACAAUGGGUCAGAUGCCUCAGAUAAAGCUAUCGCAAAAGAUGUAAUCACUGUAGCUAUUAGACUGACAGAAGAAAAUCUAUCAGAGCAAUUCCAAGGAUGCAACUGUGAAGGAUAAGUUGUUCUUCUGGGAAUGUGAGUGUCCCUUGCAGGAACACUGAUGGAGAAUCUCAAAGCCCUGAAGCCCUUAGGGGAUUCAAAGGUUUGAGUUGGCUUCAGCAGCAGCACCACAGGGUAGGCAGAUGUGGGAGGAUGGAAGUUCUUCCUGGGAGCAAGUGAACAGGGGUGAACAAUUUCAGAACUACAGUCUGAGAUCUCACUGAAAAAGCCAUUCAUCCAGAAGACAGGAAAUCAAGAACAGGUCUAGGAUACAGAAAAACUGGGGUCAGUUGGUAAAGAUGGUGGCCAUAGCCCUUAAUCCUCUGAUCCUAUUUUUCACAUAUUUUUCAAUGUUGAGCUUUGUUUCAUUUAUAACUUUUUUUUUUUAAGAUACAGGUAAGGGGCUCACUCUCUCACCCAGAUUGGAAUGCAGUAGUGUGAUCUCAGCUCACUGAGCCUCGACCUCCUAGGCUCAAGCAAUCCUCCCACUUCAGCAUCCUGAGUAACUGGGACUACAUGCACGCACCAUUACACCUGGUUAAUUUUUAUAUUUUUUUUUAUAGAGACGGGACUUUGCCAUGUUGCCUGGGCUGGUCUGAAACUCCUGGCCUGAAGUGACCCACUUGCCUCAGCCUCCCAAAGUGGUGGGAUUAUAGGCUUGAGCCACUACACCCGGCCCACAACUAACCUUUCUUGAGCACUACCUAGGUGUAGGGACCAGUCUCAAUGCUUUGCUUGCAUUAAUACAUGUAAUCCUCACUAUGCUAUGAUUCUGGUAUUAUUAUCAUCCCAUUUUACAAAUGAGAAAAAUUGGAUGCAAUUAAGGUUGUAAAUCUUUCCCAAUGAGUGAAUGGGCAAACAAGGAGGAGAAUGCAGGCCAUUUGUAUUGAAUUGUACCAUGUGCUUCCUCCAUGCAGGCAGGUGGAAGGGGACGAAUAGAAAGGGAAGCAGGAGGAUGUGUGGUGCUAUGGGCACCUUUGCAUGGGAACAGAGCAUCUUGAGUGGGUGGUUUCAACUCAGAAAAGGAAGGCAGGCUACAUGGGAGGAUAAGAAGAAUUGAUAAGAGAGACAACUCAGUACUUCACUGUAGGUGAAGAAAAGGAAGAGUGGCUGAACUCAGAGUAGUGGCAGAGCAAUGAGGAGAGAAAGUUUGGAGAGAAGGGAUCCUGUGUCUUAGGGAGAAAGAAUUUAAGGAAUUUGAUGACUAGGAGGUGAUUCCACCCACCCCUGACCAGACGUCCACUGCCACUCUCUGGUGGUACCUGGUUGUGUUAAUUCUUCCCAGUGGGAAAACCUGUAGAGUGCUGCCUUCUCUGUGGGUGUGCUGGCUCUGAUCACUGCCUCCUCUCUUCCUGCAGCUCAUGGGGACCCAGCUGUGAUGGCAGUGCUGAUCCACAACCCAACAGUAUGGGCUUUCUCCACCCACACUCUUUCUGGAACCUGUACUAGGCCCUGGAGAAUCAAAGAUGAAAGAGAUACAGCUCCACUUAUGAAUGGCAUGAGGAUCUCUGAUGUUCAAAGAGUGGACAAGAAAAAGAAACCUAAGAGGCUUGGAAGAGAGGACAACAUCUUACUCUUUUGCCCUGGCUGGAGUGCAGUGGUGUGAUCAUGGCUCACUGUUGCCUUGAACUCCUAAGCUCAAGAAAUCUUCCUGUCUUAGCAGCCUGAGUAGCUGGGACCAUAGGUACAUGCCAUCAUACCUGGCUCAUCUUUUAUUUUUAUUUUUGUAAAGAUAGAGUCUCGCUAUGUUGCCCAUGAUGGUCUCAAGCUCCUGGCCUCAACAAUUCUCCUGCCUUGGACUCCCAAAGCACUGGGAUUACAAGCAUAAGCCACUGUGUACAGCCCUGUAUCUGUACAUUUUCACAUUGCCUGGUAAUAUGCGUGUCUUACCCCCCAGUUGUAAAUCUUUUAAAAUAUAGACAGUAUCUCAUUGUUGCUCAUUGUUGCUCCUGUAGCAGUACCUAUCUCAUCACAUGGUGAUUAAUAUAAAUAAUCAAUGUGUAAUCAGUAUGGCUGGAUGGUUAAGUGACUGAAUGGAAAUGAAGGGCAUUCCAAGUGGAUGGAUCUAUAGGAGCAAAGGCCUUCAAGCGGAAGUUUAAGAUAUGUGAAAAAAAAAUACUAGGAGACAAGGUCCUAAAGGAAAAUUAGUGCUAUAUCCUAGGGAUGUCAGGCUGAGAAUUAGAAAAUAUAUCUUGGACACAAUAGGCAAUCAUCGAUCAACAGAAUAUUCCUGUGGUUAUACUGCAUUCACCCUUUUUUUUUUUUUUUAAGAGAAGACCUACCUCUAUAUUUGCUGGAUAUAGGAUUCAAAAGAGAACUCGCAACCUUUGCACAUGAUCUUAUCUCCUUGCUACAGCAAUUGUUCAAAGGGUGGACACUGAACUAACCAGAGAAUGCUGCCUUCUUGUUUAUCCAAGGAUGUUGUUGGGCUCAGAAAAUAAUAUCCCAAAUGGUGCUUUGGCAUGCUGAGCACUUUGAAUUUUGAAUUAAAGGAAAUUGGAAGGCCUUAGAAGCUGCCUCAAAAUCAAAAUCUUUCUGACCUUUCCUUGUUUCUGUCCCCAAGUGUGGGGAGGGGCUCUCUCUGAGUUCCUUUAUCUGACUCAGAAGUACUUCCAAAAGAAACAUAAUUGCCUUCAAUCUCCUGUCUGAAAUCUCAUUAACUAGGAAAGAUUAAUCACUGAAGAAGAAACUAAAGGUUAUGCCACACUCCCUUUAACAGACUUUUCAUCUAUUCUUCUGAGGGUGGCUAUCUGAAAGACUUUAUCUGCAUAAGAAAACCUUUGUUGGCCGUGCAGUUCUGCCCCUCACCUUCCCAUAACUUCUUGCCACCUCCCCCAGAGUCCAGAGGAAAUUUGUCCCAGGCUAUUGCCUGUUAUUGAGGCUCAUUCAUCUCCCCUAAAUAUUAUUUACUCUUUCUUUAAAAGUGCUUACACCUCCCACUUUUCUCUCCCCUAUGAAGAGGUAUUUAAGCUUCAAGCAUCUGGCCUCCUCCUUUGAAUUUCAAGCUAAGUGUGACUCCCAUGGGCUUUCACAUUAAUAAAUUUGAACAUUUUUCUCCUGUUAAUCUGUCUGUUGCUAGUUUAUUUUAGCAGAUGUAGAGAUGAAAGCCUUCAGAAAGCAAUGUUAGAAUUCCUUUUGUGCCUACGAUGUGCACAUAACCAAACUCAGGUCAAUCAAGGGACUUCUCUGGGAUAAUUUUCUAACCUGCACCAGGAAAAGAAGUGUCUUUCCCUAUAAGGGUAUAUGCUGUCAUUGGCUAGGUUCCCCAUCAUGGACAAAAAGUGGGUCUAAAGUUAAAGAAACUCAAUGCAACAUGCAAAGAAGAACAAAGAUAAGAAGGAGCAAGAGAAGUACUUGGUGCCUGUUGUCAGGCUACUGCCCUUUUACCCAGGUAGGCCAGUUGAAUCUGGGCCUCUAUAACCUACAAUCAGGUACUUGUGAUUGCAUAGCUUCUUUCUCAUUGCAACAGCACCCUGGACUUUAAGGAGAGUCCAGGAAUGACUCUCUGGCUCAACAACACAUGUCUCAUCACUACAUGCUGCCCAGAGAUUUAUUUCAAAAGGGAGACUAUAAUACCAAGGGGAGCUUCCCCUAAGAGUCAUCAACAUGAAGCCCAUCAUGUCUAUGUCCCCAUUUAUUCUCUUUUUAAAUGCUAAACUUCUUUAAAUAGUUAUAAAUAGAAGAUUUCAAACAGGAGAGAUGAUAUACAGAUACAGAGAUAAACUAAACCAGAUUAGGUGUUUAAAAGAUGUAAUAAAAUAGCAUCCUUUUCACCAGAUUUUUGAAGACAGUGACAAGGGGUGUUGGGAACUGUGCAUUAGAAGUAUAACGCUAUAGAAAGACUUUUGUAUCUAUUUCAGAAUUUUUGCUAUGUAAUACAAUAACAGUAAGAAAAGAAGCAAGAGCUAGCUGAGAGACCUAAUUUUAAAAAAAGACAUUUCAGACUUCUCUUGGCACGAAUUUGCAUCUUAUUAACAUCGAGCUGAUAAGAGGUCUUAUUUUCACAUUUAUUGCAGAAAGAAUUAUCUCUUUUCAAUGAUACUUGAGUCCAAUAUUAUACACAUAGCACAUGAAAUGCAGAUGAAGUUUCAAGCCCAUCAUAUCCAAGGUUUGACAAGAAUAAGUGAGAUGACAACAAUUAAACAUAAUUUCUGAAGCCACAGACCAAGUGUCAUUUAAUUUAUGUAGUCUUCCCAAGUAACCCUGGAAGAAUUAAUCACUUCCUCUUUCUGGUCCAAUAACAUUUUUGAACACACUUUUAUAUAUAAGGUAGACUGUGUUAGAAGCAGCAUAGAGUCACAAGUUGAAAUACCAUUGUUGUUUCCUUCACUGCAAAAUGGAUAUAUUGUAGAAUAUGCAAUCUACAAUUUGAGAGAGAAAAAAACAAGAAAAAAAUGCAAUAUAAGGUAAUUAUCAAAAUUUCUGGCAUUAAGUAAAUUCUCCUAAAUUAGUCAGUAUAAUAGUUCCCUUUUUUUGGUUCAGAUACAAAAGUUGGCCAGCCCUCUCCUGCCCACCAACAUAUCACUCCAAAAUAACCACAGUGAUAAUGACUAGGUGUCUAUUUUUAAUUUUUUCAAAGAAAAUAGGUGAUGAGAAAUGAACCCUAUCCUAUUUGAGGAGACUCUCGACAGGUGACCAGACUUUAACCUAACUGCAUGAUUAUCUAAAUACAGAGAUAACAUAAAUAAAUAGCAAGAAACAGCAUACCCAUCAACAACUGUCGUUUUGCUUUCUUCUUCUAUAUGGUUAUGGAACAUGUGUUGUUCUCCACAUUAUGGUGCAAGGUACUUAUUGUGAUGCCACUUUCAAUGCCAAACUAUAGUAGUGUGUUCAGAAUUUAAUGCAAAUGAAAAUAUAAAAGUAGUAUUAUAAACAGUUUAUGUGGAUGAAUGCAGCUAUUUUUUCCUAAACUGAAUGUGGCUCUUUCCUAAACUGAUUAUUGUGAGUUUUCUGACUUUCUUCUAUAGUCUAUCUUCUUAAAUAUUAUAUCAGCUAUCAGUUACUUCUCAAAGUCUAUCUGCUUUAAUCAAUUCUGAACAUGUUAUUACUAUCUUAAAGCAAGAAUACAUAAGAUCUAAAUGAAGCCUGGAAAAUGCAUUUAUCCAAAAAAAUGUGAAUGUAGUGCAAGCAUUUUUUGAUGUGUAUUUUGGCUUUUGCUUACCACUUCUGCUUUAAAUAAUUGACGUUGACUUAAACACUUCUGAUAAGAUGUCCUACAUGCUUAUAAUCUAUUUGUCAUAUAUACUUUUUAGGAUGAUAUAAAGUACAUGAAGCAAAAAGAUGACAUCAUCUAAUCGUGUUACUGUGAGCAGAGAAGAAUUCAAAUUCAGGCAUCCAGGGUAACCAAUUUUAUGGGACACAUGUGACUCAGCCUUAGCCUCCUUCUCUACAAUUACAUUUCCCCACCUGGGAUUUCACAGAUCAGCAGUAAACAAACUCCAAGUUUCAUUUCCGUAAAGUGACAGAAGAUGGGUCCCCUGAGUGAAGACGGCCUUCUACCCUUCAUCUGAGAAAUUUAAACCAGUAGAUUUGAUAAUAAAUGUUAAGGGUAUUCAAUUAACAUACAAAGUGGCAGCUGGAAAGGGCACCGCAGACAGAUGUCUGGCUAGAGUCAGUUCUGUGCCCAGGAGAGACAAAGUAGCUAAUAAAUGCUGUUCUCUAUUUAUGUGUUGACUUCUGAGACACUCCACUUUGAGUGUUUUCUUGGUAAAGAGUUCAUCUGAUCUCAAGAACCCACCCCCCAAGGAGGGAAAGUCCAUUGUCUUUGCCUUAGAUUGGCAGGUAGAGUAAAUGAAAAAUUAAGAAAUUAUGUGAAUUCCCCCAAAGAGAAGAGAAGGGCUAGAGUGACUAUUUUAUGUUACGUGGAGAUGAGGGUGUGCUUAUUCUUUCAGCUGACAUAAUCUAUUAACAUAUGUAAAAUGCUUAUAAAGAGUCUCCAGCACAUGUUAAGUGCUGAAUAACACAGCCACCACCACCACCAGCAUCACAUACUAUUGACAGGCAUUGUACUAACUUCCUGGGAUUCAAACAUUAAACAUACAUAUUAAACAUAUGUACAAAUAAAACACCUCUAUGUGUUCAAAAAAUACACGUAUACAAAUGAAUAAGUCCAAUAGACUUCUGUGAAAAGUGAAUCUACAAAGACUCACAUAAAAUCAUGGUUAUGGCUGGUAGACUAGCAGGUUAAGUGAAGGAGGUCUUCAAGGAAGAGUUAGCACAAUCUAGGAACUGUUCACCAAGCAGGUAAGAGAAAAAGACCUUCACAAACACGGAAGAAACAAACACACCCUGGUAAACUUGGGGAAUUAUAAGAAGCCCAGUUUGACUGUUGACUCUGAUGUGAUGAGUUAAGGGAAAGAAAUGAGGCUAGGAGGAGGUAAACUUGUGGGCUCACUUUGUGGAAGUCUUUGCUGCCCUACUAAGGAAUUGGAGCUGUAUGUCAUAGAAAUCCAUUUGACAAUUUCAAGGGGGCCAUGUUACAGGAUCUCUAAAGAUAGCAUGCCCUUCAAUUUGCAAAAACACAUGCCAUUUAAACUCCCUGUGCUGACUUCCUCACUAAUAGAGUGAAGGUUAUUAUGGAUGGAAGGAGUAACAUGAUAGAAGCAAAAGCAACGCUAAAACAUUACAGGGAUGUAUGAUAUACUAGUUUAUUUUCACACUACUAUAAAGAACUACCUGAGACUGGGUACGUUAUAAAGAAAAGAGGUUUAAUUGACUCACAGUUCCACAUAGCUGGGGAGGCCUCAGGAAACUUACAAUCAUGGAGAAAGGCCAAGGGGAAGAAAGGCAUGUCUUACAUGGCAGCCAGGGAGAGAGAGCAAGGAUGAAAUCAUCAAAUCUAGUGAGAACUCACUAUCCCGAGAACAGCUGAGGGAAAUCCAACCCCAAUGAUCCAGUCAUCUCCCAACAGGUCCCUCCCCUGACACAUGUGGAUUAAAAUUCUACAUGAGAUUUGGGUGGGGACAAAGAACCAAACCGUAUCAAGGGAAAUCACAGAAUUUUGUGUUGUCAUCAAAAAUUUGAAAAAAGCAGGGUGGAGGUGAGUCUUAUCACAUCUCCAUUUAACUUGCCUGUCUGAUUCUUAUAGAAGUUGGAUGGGUUUCAGACACAGCCAAUGGAUUAUUGCAAACAAAACAGAGUUGACUCCAAAAUUGCUAUAGCUAUUCCAGCUGUAGUCAUUUUACUGGAUCAAAUAAACACAGCUUAGGAACGUAGUAUGGAAUUACUCAAAAAAAUUAUUUACUUCUAUCCCAGGGAUCCACAAGCAAUACCCAUGGGUAAAAUCUGAUCCUCAGUUUUUAUAAAUAAAGUUUUAUUGGAACACAAUCAUGCCCAUUCCCUAACAUAUUGCCUAUGGCUACUUUUAUGCCACAGUGACAGAGUUGAAUAGCUGCAAGAAAGAUUGUGGCUCACAAAGCUUAAACUAUUUAGUAUCUAGCUCUUUUUAGAAAAAGUUUGUUGACACCUGCCCUAUCAUAAUGAAGACGAGAAGCAGGCUGCUUUCACGUAGCAUAAACAUCAGUAUACCUCUCCUGAAACUAUCCCAGGCCAUGAUAACUCUUAUGUGCUCUUCAAAACUCAGUCCACAGAAUUUUGAUCAUUUUAAUAUGCCACAGAACAUCUUACUGGUCCACAUACACAUUUGGUUUCUUGCUGAUAGGAUCUGGUGAUCAGAAAAUAGAAAGUGCCUCUGAAAGAGAAAACCUGCAUGAUCUUGCUUGUUUAUAGAUUAUAAGUGUCAAACUCUUAUAAGCAAGUUGAAUGGUGGUUACUAGAGGCUGGGCUAGGGGUGGAGGGGAAGACCGGGGAGAUGUUAGUCCAAGAAUACAAUAUUUCAGAUCAACCAGAGAAAAAGGUUCAGGAUAACUAUAUUAUACAAUACAGGGACUAUGGUUAAUAAUAAUAAUGUAACAUACUUGAAAAUUGUGAAGAGAGUAGACUUUAAGUGUUUUCACCAUAAAAAACAUUUUUAAGGUAAUGGAUAUGUUAAUGAGUUUGAUUUAGUCAUUACACAAUGUAUACACUUAUCAAAACAUUAUAUUGUAUGCCAUAAAUGUAUACAACUUUUGUCAAUUAAAA
rnacentral:lncRNA from 1 species